rfam:Rattus norvegicus chromosome 2, whole genome shotgun sequence.
CUUGGCUAUGGGGACAUGUAUCCUAAGACAUGGUCAGGAAUGCUGGUGGGUGCGCUGUGUGCACUGGCUGGUGUGCUAACCAUUGCCAUGCCUGUGCCUGUCAUCGUCAAUAAC